UAUUUUUUCAUUUUUAUCUUGUCUCAUUCCGAAUAUUAAUUGCAAACCUUUUUUCGAAAUGUUUUAAAGAUUUUUAGUAUUGAAAGAGGCAGAAUUUGAUCAAGCAUAUAAAAAAUCUAGGCAAAUGGAAUGAAAAAGGGAAAUGAAAGUGGAGGUAAAGAGAUUGACUCGAAGAAAUAUAUUCUCCGAGGAAGAGAAUCCAAUACCUAUGCUUUUUUUCUAUUUGUAACGCGGAGCAAAUUUAAUCAAAUUGGCUGACCACACGUAAGUCUACGUCAAGAUAAUGGUAAGCGAGAACUAUGGUCACCUUCGAGAUACGCUAUGUGCCUUGGGUACAACAUGAAAUAUUGAUUUCAGGUUGCAUACAUUAGUGCCACGAGGAAAAGCGUGAUCUAGAGAAACGCCGAGAAGUCAACGUGAGUGAAAUGGCCAGGUUCUUUCACGCAUCGUAACUCGUAACGCAAACGAUGUGUUUUCGGUGGCAUUGCAGAUAUCCGCGCGAUAAACAAUGCCUUUAGGAAGCCAAUGUACUUUAGGAAGCGACUUUCGCCUACGUUAAUGUUAAGUGGAGGACCUUCGGCGCGCUUAUAUAACGAGAUAUCGCAGCCGUGCACGGACAUUACGCAGGUAUACAUUUUUUUUCCUCGACAAAAUCGAAUUUGACGGCAAUGAAAGUUUUAGUUUUCUUGCAAACUACCGUCUGUAAUUUUCAAUUUAAAAUCGCUUAAUGUCUCAUAUUCUAAACGAGAAAUUAAAAUUUUAUCAAUAACUGCGAAACUACAAAUUGAUUUGUGGGAAAACAUGAUUUACCUGGGCAGAUGUCGAGGAAGUGCUUCAGAGUGCAAAGAAGAUCAAGUCCGGUCGAGUCAUGUUUAUGGGAUUAAAGAGCGAAACGCGUACACGUGCAAGGAAAAAGAGAAGAGUUGUGGUGACUAACGGUAGAUACACUAUUGCGAGUGACGACAGCGGCCUUCCGCUUUCUCAGGCUAUGCAUGCAAGGCAGGCCACGUGCACUCGUUCGUUCCGUUGCGGUUCGUAAACAGAUUCGCAUUCACGAAUCACGGCAAGCCCACCAACACGGAGAGUCCAUGGACAGUCGUGGUCGAAUUCCCGGUCGAAAUAAUUACUACGGAUGUGUGUGUAACCGACAGGUGCCCUGAAGGCUCUUCCAGGCCCGCAACAACAAUCGCGACUCGUCUUUUAAUUAGAAACAAAAUAGUACAAGACAGAAAAGUAUGGAUUGCGAAAAAUUCGUCAUCGUUGGUAGAAAUAAAAAUUUCGAAAUACUACAAUUUUUAAACUCAAUGCAUAAAAAUUACACGCAGUGAUGCGGCAUCAAAAAUAAUAUCAAUAGAAAUGGAAAAAAUUCUUUAAGCCUUCAUAUUUUAUAUUUUAAAAGAAGUAGAUUUAUAAAAUUAUAUUCAAUAAAAAAAAAUAAAAAAAGGAAAAGUAAUAUAAAUAAAUUAUCAUAGAUUUACUUUUUCUCUUCCCCUUCCUCCUUUUACGUAAUCCGCAAAGAUGAGUCGCGAUUCACAUGCAUAAAUUUGAGAAACUCUGAUUAUAGAGAAUUCUCGAACGCAUUGCGAGCAAGCAAUAAUUCAUAUUUCACGAUUUCACGAUUAUCGCUGCACAAAAUAUUAAUCUAUUCUAUUGAUAGACGCUUCGCCAGUAUCGUCGUAUCUCUCAUCUGAUAUAUGACUUGUUCAAUUAAUAAUUUCAAAUUUUCAUCUUUCCUCACGAGAAAUAUCGGACUCCCGAUAGCCGAGUCGUGGACUUCGAUAAAUGAAAAGCAGGAGAAAGCGUAUGUGAAUUACAAUAAAUUAGAAUAAUAAAUUAAAUGUAAAUAAAUAUAUUGCAACUAUAAAAGUAUACGAGUCAAAUAAGAUAUCUUUAAUUAAUUUCAGGUGAAAUAUGCUUCAACGGGAUAUUUCAAUGUGAAAACCGAGCGCUGAAAUAUUUAUGCUGCAACUGAAAUUGCCCGAACGAUCCGAGACGUGUGCUACGGCUCCGUAGAGAACCUCAGAGGCGACGAUCGAAGUUAAAUUAAAGGAUUCGCGAGCGACGGAUAUUAUCGACGCGUGGCGUGGCUUAGGGUCGAGCGUACGCAUGCAUUAUAUGCCUCAUGUCGCGCAUAUUGUAACUUCUUGCACCUCACACCUUUCUAUUCAUAAUAGUCAGAAUUUUAGCAGCAACUGCUUAAUCAUAUUACUCAACGAUUUACUCAUACGAACAUCAACAACAACGUUCCUUUCGCGAUGAUACAAGUUGCUGGCGAAUUUAAUUUUUUUAAUGAAAUUUCAUGUAUAAACAGCCUUUGUAAUACGUCUUGCAACUUUACUGUAACAUUAUAUACACUUUUUACCCCCCCCCCAAAAAAAAAAAA
rnacentral:lncRNA from 1 species